GGAAGGGUGGCUCAGUGGUAGAGCGCCGAUGGUUGGAAUGCCAGAAACCCGGCUAUCGGUCAACCCGCAAUGGGCUUCGCGUGGUUCGAAUCCCGCCCCUUCCG
rnacentral:tRNA from 1 species